rnacentral:misc_RNA from 1 species
AACCAUAGAAACCUGCGGAGUACCUGCGGAAGGAUCAUUAAUAGAGUGUAUACCCCCCCGGUAAAAAAGGGGGGUAACCUCCCGUCCUUUGUUGGGUCCCCUAUUUGGGGGGUCUUUUAUUUUAACUUUGCCUCGGUGGGGUAACCCACCGGAACACCCUCAAAAAUUCUUGAUUUUAAAAACUGUGUUCAGUCCGAGAAAACUUUUAAUAAAUUAAAACUUUCAACAACGGAUCUCAGA